ACACUAUUUUUGUUAUCACGACGCCAGUAAACUAUAAUUAUACAGCGGACGCUAUUUAUGACACUCACUUUGAGACGAGCUCAACGUGAGCCUUGUAACCGAACGAACCUCAUAGGCAUAGUGGAUAAAUAAUAGAAUUUUAAAGGUAUUAUAAAAAAAAAAAAAAUAUUACAUUUUACACAUAUUACUUUAAUUACUAAUUGAACACAAAUUGCAAUGCAAUAUGCAUUUAUUUUUCCCAAAA